CCCGUGAGCAGCAAAGCCCAAGCUCUUCCCUUCAUCCCGUGGGGAGCCUGUCCCCUACCAUGCCAGCAGCACCAGCCCGGGGUGCCCGGUGCUUCAUCCCCGUGGCAUCACCGCAAGCUGCUGCAGCUCAUCUCCAGCCUGAGCUCUCAGCGUGGCCGUGCUCGACAUCCCGCACCUCUUCCCCUGCAGCCCAGAAAAUGGAAACUUGUUUCCAACCUCAGGGACAAGUUAAUCUGCUGCACAAAUUGGGCCUAAUAACAACACUGAGAGGGGGCAGGAGGCCAUGGAGACACCUAGUCCGGAGGGGAAUUAAAGAGACAAGACAUUUUGGUUUGCUGCUCUCCCACGAAGAAAUGCCAGACCUGUCCGAGGUGCAGGCUGCACGCUCUCCGUGCCUGCCUGUCAUCGAGAACCGCUCAGCAUCCUGCUGCCUCACGGGGACCGAGAGGCUCAGUGGGGGCACCCAGUGAGAGCCCAGGUGUGAGAUGAGAUCUGGGAGCUCCCCUCCUCCUCCUCCACCAAGAAAAUACAACCUAGCCAGAGACACGUGCUUGUGCCUUUGGCUGGUCAUCUGUCCUUCCUGCAGGGACGAGCUGCUGCCCCAGGGCGGGUGUUCGGACUCCUCAGCCCCCCGUCUGAUGAGCUCGGGGUCAGAGCAGAGGUGCCUACAGCAGGCACAGCCUCACCCCACUUCUGGGACACCCCACACAAGGGCUGCACUCUUUAUUCAGCCAAGCCUCGUCUGCCCACAGCGUUUCUGGUCAGCAGUUUUCUGGUGGAAAACACAGCUUCUGCAAAAGUAAUGUUUUUCCCCGCAAGAAAGUUCUGGUUUUCCCCCAAAGGCCAAGCCUCAGGCUUGUAGAGCCGAAGCAGAGCAGCCUGAGGUCAGCUUGCCAUGCAGCAUCCCGUGACCCCUCUUGGCAUCGCAGGUUGCUGCUGCUCACCACCAGUCCCACCCCAAGGGCCCCAGCCUGCAGGGACGAAGUCCCUGUGCAGCUCAGUGCAGAGGCUGGAGCCUCCCGGCCAGCUCGGAGGGCACAGCCUGGAGCAUGAGAUAUGCAAGUGAAGUUUGCUGAAUUGAGAAUUUCUGCCCUCAUUUUUUUUUUUUUCCUCUUUCUGGAACUUUCCAUCCCACAGAAGAUUUUAACAAGUUGAUUUUUCCAGCCUCUUGAGGACAAAAGCAAAUUCUGGGACCUACGCUCAGGAAGAAGAGGCAAAAAAAAGAGGCCAGAAAGAUGAGUUUUGUAGGGAGCUCACGGGGAUGCAUUUCAAUUCACCGCACAGGGUUACAUCAGAAGGCCUGUGUGGCCAGGGUUGGGUGCCCAGUAUUAGCUGACUGUGGAUGUUUAGGGAAAAUUAGAAGAGCUCAAGAGAGACCUUCCCAGCAGUAGUCGGCUCUCCGGGACACCCAAAUCACUGAGCUCAACAGCCACCCACUCACCAGCAUUUCUCUGAUCCCUUUCUGAACCACAGCCAACUGGAGGCAUAAGGCAAGCCUUCCUGCUGGCCAGGCUAAACAAUAACUGCAGCUAAGGUGUUGCAGAGCAUCACCAGCCAGCCCCAAGGGGACAGCUUCCAGGGACAAGGAGACUUUGUCACACAGCCAUUAGCUGCGACAAAUCCCCAAACCCUCCCAAGCUCCUGCUUGCUGCCUCUGGCCUUGAAAUAAACCUACUGCUGGUCUCCAUCUCAGGUGGCCAGCUGUUCCUUAUUUCUAGACUUAUUUGCCUUUGACUAAUUAAUCAGCUCCAAAUGUCUCUUCAGGCUUGGCCUGCCCGAACAGGAGGCCAGAAAUCUGAUGGCAGGACAGAGCUCAUGUCACAGGUGAGGGCCAGGACUGCCAACAGCAGUACCACGCAUGGUCCCUGCAGCUGCUGCUCAGCUCCCUGCAGCCAGACCCCACAUUUCUCCAGGCUCAGGGCAUGGGCAGGCAGCAGACAAAGCACAUUCAGCACACCGGGGCUGCUGGCACUGCUGGGUUGACCCCCAUCUCCAUCCCCUGCAGGAGGAGGCAAGCAUCAGCCCCACCACCACGUGUGACUGCACCUCGGCACGGCAGAACUGAACUCUCAGGAAAAAAAUGGGAUUAAAAGACCAAAAAAAAAGCAAAGGAAGGACGAUGCACCCUGUGGAGCCAGACACAUGAAGGUCAGUUUUGCCUGCCCGCAGCUGACACAUCCCGAGCAGAGCUGCCUGUGCACGGAGCCAGCCAUUGGGAAAUAGGGACUGGGCUUUGCAUCCAGGACCCAGAGCCAGCGGCUCUCCCAGCCCCAGCUGGAGGAGAUGGGACCGGGGGCACUGCCAACACACCCAGGCUCUGCUGCUCCAGCUUGUGCUCAGAAUCCCUUCCCCUUGGAAGCCCUGAAAGGAACCAAAUUUCUCUUUUAUUAUCUUGGAUCUGAUCUUCACUGAGAAGGUGCUUCAAGGCUGCCUGUGCCAGAACAUUUACAAAGUUUCCCAGCAGAAGAAUGAAGCAAAGCAUGGGAAAGCUCUUUGAUCUUUAUGUGCCUGAAGUUUUGAGCCAAGGAAGCGCUGACCAUGAAGCUGCACUUCCCAUCCAGGUUUGUGAUCUCUGCUCCUGGCAAUGGCUCAUCCUCCUCUGUCAGCAGCCAAGAACCCUGCUGGAGAGGUCUCCUUGUAGCAGGCUCACCACAGAGAGGUGCUGGGGACCAGAGCUCUGCCCCCGACUCUGCUGCCUGCCUUAGGGAAGGGGACGUGUCUCAGGGCUUUGUUUUCCCCGUGUGAAACAGAAGGGACAUCUCUUGGUAAGCCUGUUCCAGGUCUCUGGGUGGGAAGCAGUAGGUGCAGGGUUCCUUGAUACACAGUGCAGCUAUUACAGGCAGCACAGGAUGCUUCGCCACCAUCGAGCUUUGAGGAUGGAGGAUUCCAGCUGAACAAGGGGCUUCUUGCUCUUUAGUCCCUUCUGAACAAGAAGAAUCAAUUGGGGUAUUUAAAUUGAAAUCCGAAUGUUGAAGAUUCCAUGGUACCCAGGAAGAUUUCAGUGCUGUGUUUGUCCAGCUCUGCUUCAAAACCCCAUCUCUGCCAUCAGUCACUGAUGGUUAACCUCCAGAAAGGAAACUGUUCCACUAUUCAGCCAGUUCCAGAGGUGAUGAGUGUCCUUGGUACAAGACUGUAAAAUAUACUGAGCCUCGGGCUCCUGCACGGGAAAGCAGGACUGUCACCACAGCUGCAAUUCAGGUCCCUCUUUAGGCUCUCCAGUGCCCCACUGCAGCCUUCCCAAGUCUGCAGCACUGGAAACUGGGUGAUAGACAGAUGUGAGCAGGCUGGGGACACCGGGAGAGUCUUUCUCUUGCAGAGAUUUUCAGGAACUUGGAACUGUGGGGGCAGCUGCGGCAGUCCCAGCCCCCUGCCCACCCAGCCCCGUCUCCAUCAGGGUCACCCUGCUCCUGGCGCCUUGCAGGAACAAGCCUGGCCGGCACCAGCCUCGCUGCAGCACGGCCACGCCGCCAGCUAUGCUCCAGCACUGGCUGCACUUAGGUUUUCAAGACCUCCUCCCACAGAUUGAUUUGUUUGUGCCAGCUGAGUUGCUCAACAGGACGUGAGCUGCCUGGGCAGCAGAUGCCCGGCACACAAACCUCCACGGAAGGGCUGGCACCCCGUGGGUGCAGGGCUGGAGGCACGUAGCGAGCACCAAGCCCCGCUCCCCGCUGGGGACAAGAAUGCUCUGUCCACCCCCCUCCUGGCACAAAGAGCCCUCUUCUUCUCCAGGACAUGAAAGGUCCGACUCAAAGCUGUACCAAAAGUGCUCCCACGUUGCUGUUUCCCCACCUCCCCAGGGACAAGAGCAAAACACCCGUGAAUCUGAGGCCUGUGGGCUCAUUGCACCAGUGACAGCUGCGGAAACGGAGGGGAUCUGGGAGCCCUGGCUGGAGGUGAGGGGUGGCUGAUGAACGAGGUGAGAGCGCCUCAGCAGAUGGCUCCAAAGGCUGUGCCGCGCUCAGGGGGUGUAGACAAAACACAGGGGUGAAGCCCAGAUGUUUAACUUCAGCAUCUGGAUGUGAUUCCUAAACAGAGACGCUCACAUCUGACCACUGUGACUGAAAAUAAAUGGUUUGUUUGACCUUCCCCAUAGCCCACCCCAAUAUUUUCUGUGUCCCUCCUAAACACGCCACAGCUGCUCCCCCCCUCUCCGGGACUGGCAGCACAUCAGACAGGAGUUGUGCCUUCUGCCCUCCCAGCCAGGGCACAGCAGGGGACACGGAGGUGCCACCCACGGGCACCAUCCCUCUGCCUCGCGCCUGCCCUGCUUUGAGCACCCUGGCAGCAAAGCUUCAAGCAGCCGAAGGACACCAGUCCCACGUGUCCACCUGUUGGGUGCCUGCUCCUGCCCAAAAAGCCCGUGGAAACAGAGAGGGACCCAACUGAGAACCCUAGGGGUAUGGAGAGGGAGCCGGCUGCUGCCACGUCCCACUUUCAGCCUGUGCAAAACGCAGUCCCAGCAGAGACCUGGGGCAGCCUGGUGUGAUGGCCCAAGCCCCCUUAGCUCACCCAGGCCCCGAGGGAGCACGAGAUGGGUCCCGUUUCACCACAGCUGUAUCCCGUUGCCAGCAGCAGGUGAAACAAGAGCAGGAU